AUGAAAUUCUAUUAUACCAAAGGGACUCGGUAAAGGCGAAGGCAGCCCUCUAUGUAAAAACUGACGUUGAAGGACGAAGGCACAGAGCACAAACAGGAUUAGAUACCCAAGUAGUCUUUGCAGUAAAUGAUGAAUGUCAUAGGUUAGAUUAAGCUUUAAUUAAUUAGUUUAUCAGUAAUGAACUAACUAUUAAACAAUAUUUAGUCUAUAAAUGAAAGUGUAAGCAUUCCACCUCAAGAGUAAUGUGGCAACGCAGGAACUGAAAUCACUAGACCGUUUCUGACACCAGUAGUGAAGUAUGUUGUUUAAUUCGRUGAUCCACGAAAAACCUUACCACAAUUUGAAUAUUUUACAGGAGUUGCACGGCUGUUUUCAGUUAAUGUUGUGAAACUGUGGUUUCCAUGAAAUUAACGCAAUCCCUGGCUUUAUUUUUUUUUUAUUACGAUAAAGCAUUUGAUCCAGGAUUUGGAAAGAAAAAGGGGACAAAGACAAGUCAUCAUGGCCUUGAUAUUGUGGGCUAUAGACGUGCCACAUAUUCCUACACAAAGAGAUGCAAAAAUGUGAAUUUAAGCUAAUCUCUAAAAAUAGGAUAUAAAUUUUAAGGAUUAUAGUCUGAAACUCGACUAUAUGAAUAAGUAAUUACUAGUAAUCGUGAAUCACCAUGUCACGGUGAAUUUACCUUGGAUUGGUACUAAGCACUCGUCACAUGCUGAAAAGAGCAUGCGCAAUAAGUUUGCUUUCUUGAUGAUCAGUAAAAAGAAUAAGCAGGUUCUAUAUUCUAUUAUUAAG
rnacentral:rRNA from 1 species